CACUUUGACUGUGUGAAGAAUUACAUGCUGGAGCAUCUCGCAUGAUGAAAAAGAUUGAUUGCACAGUGGCAGACUCUCCAGGGACUGUGUGCGAUGGGUCCCCAGAGUAUCCAGAAGCAGAGGCAGAGGAAGGAGCCGCUUCAGGCGUGGAGCUCUUCCAAAUACGCAGACGUUCCAGCCGGAACCUGCAGCUGCCCCCGUUGGUCUUCCGGCAAGCUGAGCAACAUGACUGGAACAGCAAAGAGACUGAGCCGAUUGCCCGUCCAACCACUCUGGCGCUGCGCAUCCCCCCGCUCAUCGCCAUCACAUCUGCUGACGCCGGCAGCUUUGACGUGGACAAUGGCACGUCGUCAGGACGGAGUCCCCUGGAUCCCAUGACGAGUCCGGGUUCGGGCCUGAUCCUUCAGGCUAACUUUGUGCACAGCCAGCGGAGGGAAUCCUUCCUCUACCGCUCCGACAGCGACUAUGACCUGUCGCCGAAGUCGAUGUCGCGAAACUCCUCCAUCGCCAGUGACAUUCAUGGAGAUGACCUCAUCGUCACGCCGUUUGCACAGGUGCUGGCUAGUUUGAGGACGGUACGGAAUAACUUUGCAGCGUUAACCAACCUCCAGCAAGAUCGAACAUCCAACAAGCGAUCCCCCAUGUGUAAUCAGCCUCCUCUCUCAAAGGCCUCCUUCACAGAGGAGGCCUACCAGAAACUGGCCACCGAGACCCUGGAGGAGCUGGACUGGUGCCUGGACCAGCUGGAGACCCUGCAGACCCGACACUCCGUCAGCGAGAUGGCCUCCAACAAGUUCAAGCGGAUGUUGAACAGGGAGUUAACGCACCUGUCUGAGAUGAGCAGAUCUGGUAACCAGGUCUCAGAGUUCAUCUCCAACACAUUUUUAGACAAACAGCACGAUGUGGAAAUGCCCUCCCCGCAGACGCAGAAGGAGAAGGAGAAGAAGAAAAAGCCCAUGUGUCAGAUCAGCGGAGUGAAAAAACUCAUGCACAGCACCAGCCUCACCAAUUCCAACAUCCCUCGCUUCGGGGUCAAGACGGAUACGGAAGACUCCUUAGCCAAGGAACUGGAGGACAUAAACAAAUGGGGCCUUAAUGUUUUUAAAGUCACAGAGUUUUCAGGCAACAGGCCUUUAACGGUGAUGAUGCACACUAUAUUUCAGGUGAGACCGAUCACCUUUAUUUACUUUGCUCAUAAAUGUCUUGUGGUGCACAAUAAUGUCUGCUCUCACUCACCGUACAUCCACAUGUUGUUCUUUCAGGCGGUUUUCACAGACCUUGAAAUUCUCGCUGCCAUUUUCGCCAGUGCUAUUCAUGAUGUGGACCACCCGGGUGUCUCCAACCAGUUCCUUAUUAACACCAACUCGGAGUUGGCCCUCAUGUACAACGACUCGUCGGUGCUGGAAAACCAUCAUCUGGCGGUGGGCUUCAAACUCCUGCAGGAGGAGAACUGUGACAUCUUCCAGAACCUGACCAAAAAACAGAGACAGUCGCUGCGCAAGAUGGUCAUCGACAUCGUCUUGGCGACUGAUAUGUCCAAACACAUGAACCUGCUGGCUGAUCUGAAGACCAUGGUCGAGACCAAGAAGGUCACCAGUUCUGGAGUCUUGCUCUUGGAUAACUACUCAGACAGGAUACAAGUGCUUCAGAACAUGGUUCACUGUGCGGAUCUCAGUAACCCCACCAAACCCCUGGAGCUGUACAAACAGUGGACGGACCGCAUCAUGGAGGAGUUCUUCAGUCAGGGCGACCGAGAGAGAGAGCGAGGGAUGGAGAUCAGCCCCAUGUGUGACAAACACAACGCCUCUGUAGAGAAGUCUCAGGUGGGCUUCAUUGACUACAUCGUGCACCCGCUGUGGGAGACGUGGGCCGACCUCGUACACCCGGACGCCCAGGACAUCCUGGACACGUUAGAGGACAACAGAGAGUGGUACCAGAGCACCAUCCCACAGAGCCCAUCGCCCGCUCCCGACCAGUCCGAGGAGGGCAGCCGCUCCACUGGAGCAGAUAAGUUCCAGUUUGAACUGACGCUGGAGGAGGACGGAGAAUCAGACACGGAGAAAGACAGCGGCAGCCAGGAGGAGGAUGACAACAGCUGUAGUGAUUCCAAAACUCUGAUCACGCAGGACUCGGAAUCCACCGAGAUUCCAGAAGCGGAGGAGGGAAUUUCAGAGAUUUCCAGGGACCCCAGCAUGGUGGAGGAGGAGGAGGAAGAUGAGGAAGAUGAGGAGGAGCAGCCAGGAGACACGUAG
ensembl:lncRNA